rnacentral:rRNA from 1 species
GACGAACGCUGGCGGCGUGCUUAACACAUGCAAGUCGAACGGAAAGGCCCUGCUUUUGUGGGGUGCUCGAGUGGCGAACGGGUGAGUAACACGUGAGUAACCUGCCCUUGACUUUGGGAUAACUUCAGGAAACUGGGGCUAAUACCGGAUAGGAGCUCCUGCUGCAUGGUGGGGGUUGGAAAGUUUCGGCGGUUGGGGAUGGACUGGCGGCUUAUCAGCUUGUUGGUGGGGUAGUGGCUUACCAAGGCUUUGACGGGUAGCCGGCCUGAGAGGGUGACCGGCCACAUUGGGACUGAGGUACGGCCCAGACUCCUACGGGAGGCAGCAGUGGGGAAUAUUGCACAAUGGGCGGAAGCCUGAUGCAGCAACGCCGCGUGCGGGAUGACGGCCUUCGGGUUGUAAACCGCUUUCGCCUGUGACGAAGCGUGAGUGACGGUAAUGGGUAAAGAAGCACCGGCUAACUACGUG